UCGGCGGCGGGUAACGUCGCGGGAGCGAAAUCGCUCGAAAUAUACCGCCCUCGCCCUACCGCCCUCGCGCGGCAUUUUAGGGUUUUCAAAAUGUGAUCGCCACUUCGUCCUCCUCUCCUCUCCCACGCCAUCGCCAUGGCUCCCUUGACCUCGAGCUCGAGCUCGAGCCCCCGCUUCCUCUCCUUCCUUAACUCCACUCCACAAGCCCUCCUCCAAUGGUAGCAAAAGGUGCGCGCGUGUUAAUAAUUAUCAUCUUGUGCACACUAGGGUUCUUAUCAAACAUGCGCGAGCACAAUCAACCACCAGGAGCAUGAUGUUUUUCUCGAUUUACCUUGGUCAGAUGGGCUUGACAUUGAAGCUAUAUAUAGGUAGCGCUCACUGAUAUUCAUUAACUCAUACUUGUUUGAGGAAAAGUCCGAAGCAUAUCCAUGAAGACCUCACCGACACUUCUCACCAUAUUUGCUUUGAUGAUGAUCUUCCAGAAAGCUCCUGCAGAUGGCAUAGGAGCUCAGGAGGAUGCAUUGGUCUUUACUCUUCGAGGAGUAAAGACCAAUGAACAUGCACUGCCACGUAAGUAUCUUCACUUCCGUGUUAAUAGCAAGGAUGAUGCAGAAAACAAGUUAGAUAUCAAGAGUCUUGUGAGGAAUACGGAAAAGAACCCGGUGGAUUCAGCGACUAGCCAUGUACAAGAAGCCACAAGCAAUGGGAGCAAUAGUACGAACGGCGAUGCAGCAAAUAACAAUGGAAAUGCAACCGACUUUCGUCCUUCUAGCAUAUCUGUUGACAAUUCGCACCGCCGGCCAACAAUCAAUAAUUUGUGCGAUUGGUCUCCUGUUCCGUGUCAUUAGAACCAUGGUGAUGGACUUGGUAACUUCAAGUUAAGGGGAUGCAGUGUGUUUAAGCAAUAUAUAUAUACAUAAAGACCUUAUGCUAUAGUAUGUUUGUGGUUUGCUACCAGAUCUAUGUAUUUCUGGACAAAGUGGCCUUCUGGUCAUGUACAGUGUGAACUAUAAUUAAAUAAAUGUCCAUGACUACUACCUUGUUUGCGUA